rnacentral:rRNA from 1 species
UACGGAGGGUGCAAACGUUGCUCGGAAUCAUUGGGCGUAAAGCGCACGUAGGCGGCCUGUUAAGUCGGAUGUGAAAGCCCCGGGCUCAACUCGGGAAGUGCAUUCGAAACUGGCAGGCUUGAAUAUGGAAGAGGGUCGCGGAAUUCCCGGUGUAGAGGUGAAAUUCGUAGAUAUCGGGAGGAACACCAGUGGCGAAGGCGGCUCACUGGCCCGGUACUGACGCUGAGGUGCGAAAGCGUGGGGAGCAAACA